UACGUAGGGUGCGAGCGUUAAUCGGAAUUACUGGGCGUAAAGCGUGCGCAGGCGGUUCGUUAAGUCAGCUGUGAAAGCCCCGGGCUCAACCUGGGAAUUGCGGUUGAAACUGGCGAACUAGAAUCUGGCAGAGGGGGGUGGAAUUCCACGUGUAGCAGUGAAAUGCGUAGAGAUGCGGAAGAACACCAGUGGCGAAGGCGGUCAACUGGCCUGAUAUUGACACUCAGACGCGAAGGCAUGGGUAGCGAACGGG
rnacentral:rRNA from 1 species